GCGCCCUUAGCUCAGUGGAUAGAGCAUCACGCUUCGGACGUGAGGGUCGGGAGUUCAAAUCUCUCAGGGCGCGCCU
rnacentral:tRNA from 2 species